rnacentral:rRNA from 1 species
AUUGAACGCUGGCGGCAUGCUUUACACAUGCAAGUCGAACGGUAACAGGCCGCAAGGUCCUGGCUAGUGGCGCACGGGUGUGUAAUACAUCUGAACGUGCCCCGUCGUGUGGGGUAACUACUCGAAAGAGUAGCUCAUACCGCAUACGCUCUAUGACUGAGAACGGGGGAGCGUUAGGCCUCUCGCGCUUUGAGCUGCCGAUGUCAGAUUAGGUAGUUGGUGGGGUAAAGGCUCACCAAGCCAACGAUCUGUAGCUGGUCUGAGAGGACGAUCAGACACACUGGGACUGAGACACGGUCCAGACUCCUACGGGAGGCAGCAGUGGGGAAUAUUGGACAAUGGGCGCAAGCCUGAUCCAGCAAUGCCGCGUGCAGGAAGAAGGCCUUCGGGUUGUAAAGUGCUUUUGGACGGAAGGAAACGGCUCUGGUUAAUACCCGGGGCUAAUGACGGUACCGGAAGAAUAAGCACCGGCUAACUACGUG